rnacentral:rRNA from 1 species
CCUACGGGAGGCAGCAGUGGGGAAUAUUGGGCAAUGGGCGCAAGCCUGACCCAGCAACGCCGCGUGAAGGAAGAAGGCUUUCGGGUUGUAAACUUCUUUUGUCAGGGAAGAGUAGAAGACGGUACCUGACGAAUAAGCCACGGCUAACUACGUGCCAGCAGCCGCGGUAAUACGUAGGUGGCAAGCGUUGUCCGGAUUUACUGGGUGUAAAGGGCGUGUAGCCGGGUUGACAAGUGAGAUGUGAAAUCCUGCGGCUUAACCGAAGAACUGCAUUUGAAACUGUUGAUCUUGAGUACUGGAGAGGCAGACGGAAGUCCUAGUGUAGCGGUGAAAUGCGUAGAUAUUAGGAGGAACACCAGUGGCGAAGGCGGUCUGCUGGACAGCAACUGACGGUGAGGCGCGAAAGCGUGGGGAGCAAACAGGAUUAGAUACCCCAGUAGUC